rnacentral:rRNA from 1 species
UACGAAGGGUGCAAACGUUGCUCGGAAUCAUUGGGCGUAAAGCGCACGUAGGCGGCUUCGCAAGUCGGAUGUGAAAUACCUCGGCUCAACCAAGGACGUGCAUCCGAAACUGUGAGGCUUGAGUACUGAAGAGGAUCGCGGAAUUCCCGGUGUAGAGGUGAAAUUCGUAGAUAUCGGGAGGAACACCAGUGGCGAAGGCGGCGAUCUGGGCAGAUACUGACGCUGAGGUGCGAAAGCGUGGGUAGCAAACAGG